rnacentral:rRNA from 1 species
GACGAACGCUGGCGGCGUGCUUAACACAUGCAAGUCGAACGGAAAGGCCCUGCUUUUGUGGGGUGCUCGAGUGGCGAACGGGUGAGUAACACGUGAGUAACCUGCCCUUGACUUUGGGAUAACUUCAGGAAACUGGGGCUAAUACCGGAUCGGAGCUCCUGCUGCAUGGUGGGGGGUGGAAAGUUUCGGCGGUUGGGGAUGGACUGGCGGGUUAUGAGCUUGUUGGUGGGGGAGUGGCUUACCAAGGCUUUGGCGGGUAGCCGGCCUGGGAGGGUGGACGGCCACAUUGGGACUGAGGUACGGCCCAGUCUCCUACGGGAGGCAGCAGUGGGGAAUAUUGCACAGUGGGCGGAAGCCUGAUGCAGCAACGCCGCGUGCGGGAUGACGGCCUUCGGGUUGUAAACCGCUUUCGCCUGUGACGAAGCGUGAGUGACGGUAAUGGGUAAAGAAGCACCGGCUAACUACGUG